AAUCCAUGCAUAGGGAACUUUCAAAGUAGCUCCUUGAAAUGCUCCCAAGCUUCGUAUAGAUUUUCUUCUUCAAGUUGCUUAAAAGAGGUGAGGCCAUUCCUCAGCUU